AGUGAACGCUGGCGGCGUGCUUAACACAUGCAAGUCGAACGAGAACGGGCUAUAGCUUGCUAUAGUUGUCAGCUAAGUGGCGCACGGGUGAGUAAUGUAUAGGUAAUAUGCCUCUUACUAAGGGAUAACAAAUGGAAACGUUUGCUAAUACCUUAUACUCCUUAUUAACAGAAGUUAAUAAGGGAAAGAUUUAUUGGUAAGAGAUUAGCCUGUAUUGUAUCAGUUAGUUGGUGGGGUAAUGGCUUACCAAGACUAUGACACGUAACCGGUUUGAGAGGAUGAUAAGUCACACUGGAACUGAGACACGGUCCAGACUCCUACGGGAGGCAGCAGUGGGGAAUAUUGCACAAUGGACGAAAGUCUGAUGCAGCAACGCCGCGUGGAGGAUGACACAUUUCGGUGCGUAAACUCCUUUUAUAUGAGAAGAUAAUGACGGUAUUAUAUGAAUAAGCACCGGCUAACUCCGUGCCAGCCGCCGCCGUAA
rnacentral:rRNA from 1 species